rnacentral:lncRNA from 1 species
CCACAAAGAAAGGAAGGUUCUCUUGAAGUAGCAAUCAAGGCAUCAAGGUUUCUGAUGUUGUCACUGACUUCGACAAGCAUUCCCCACAUAAGCUGUUAAGCACACCUGAGUCCCUCCAGCACUCACAGAUAUCUGUCCCUGCCACAGGAGUCAGCGUUACUAAAAAUGCUAGAUGAGUAAGCCCCUGCCUGGAAUGUUCCAACAGAAAAACAACGGAGAACUCCUCAUCUCCAAUCAAAGUUACAAACCUGAGCCUGAGAGAGAACGAAAAAUUGGCUUGGAAUCCUAGGAAAGGACCCGUCAGACGGCCUUGAUCCACACCUGUCUCAACUACUGCACAAGCACAUGCUGACCAGUAAGGGGACAAAGACAGGGGAGCCAAGCCAGUCUCCACCCUCUGCUAGCUGUAGUUAGCCACUUGCUUAGCUCCUGGCUUCAUUUUUCUCAGUUACACAACAGAAUUGAACCAGAUGAUCCUUGGAAACUCUCAGUUAGGAUUCCAUAAUCACUGUUAUCAUUUUUCUGCCUGUAUCAGGUGUUAACAAUGUAACUACACAAAUGAAAUUUCCAGGAAAGUAAAUUAAACUUGACCUUAAAUAU